AUUUAACCUAAAUGAUCCCCAAAGCCUCAUAUGGCUCAGUCUCAGCUAGGAGUUAUAUUUAAAGGACACACAAAUUAGACUUCCUAAUCUUCAGACAGCACUGUAGAUACUGACUGCAGAUUUUUUUUUUAAAUGGGCCAUCCAGGAGUUUUAUACAGAGCACCAACUAGAACACUUUUUGAAAUCAUAUUCAGACCUUUGUCUGCAUCCCCCAAUUGCACGCCCAGUCUAGCUGCUAAACUUCUUCCUGUUCUCUCUCAUUUUCAAGGUUGCCUCACAACUCUACUCUCUCUGUUCACUUCCUCCACUUGAGCACUUUCUCUGGCUUUCUAGCCAGGUUUUACCACCAGGACUGACCCACUCCUGGCCACUGGGCUGAAGAACUACACAUCACCUGAUCCUUCCUCAACUCCCUGAGGUGGAAGUCUUCUGGGAAUUCUUCUGAUUCAUUUUAAUUAAUAAGUUUUAUGGAAAAUUUCUGAUGAAUAAAAUUCUCCCUUUCAUUUUGGUGAGAAACAUGUUAUUCGGUUGGUGCAAAAGGAAUUGCGGUUUUUGCUUUGCUGAAAUUUGCCGUUUGAUAUUGGAAUACAUUCUUAAUAAAUGUGGUUACAUUAUACAUAAUUUUAACAUGCAGUUCUUACUCUAUUUUUUUGGCUAAUGACUUAUUACUUGCUGUCUGUUUUAUAUUUAUUUUAGACUAGGAAAAUGAUGUUAGACACAAAGCAAAUUCAAGCGAUUUUCUUAUUCAAGUUCAAAAUGGGUCAUAAAGCAGUGGAGACAAUUUGCAACAUCAACAAUGCAUUUGGCCCAGGAACUGCUAAUGAACAUACAGUGUAGAGGUGGUUCCAGAAGUUUUGCAAAGGAGACAAGCGCCUUGAAGAUGAGAAGUGUAGUGGCCAGCCCUCAGAAGUUGACAGUGAGAGUUGAGAGCCAUCAUCAAAGCUGAUCCUCUUAUAACUACAUGAGAAGUUGCUAAAGAACUCAGUGUCAACCAUUCUAUUGUCUUUCAAUAUUUGAAGCAAAUUGAAAAGGUGUGAAAACUCAGUAAGUCAGUAUUUCAUGAGCUGACUGAAAAUCAAAAAAAAAAUCAUCAUUUGGAAGUGUCAUCUUAUUCUAUGCAACAAUGAACCAUUUCUAGAUCAGAUUGUGACAUGAGACGAAAGUGGAUUUUACAUGACAACCAGUAACAACCAGCUCAGUGGUUGGACUGAGAAGAAGCUCCAAAGCACUUCCCAAAGCCAA
rnacentral:lncRNA from 1 species